GAUGAACGCUGGCGGCGUGCCUAAUACAUGCAAGUCGAGCGAACAGACGAGGAGCUUGCUCCUUUGACGUUAGCGGCGGACGGGUGAGUAACACGUGGAUAACCUACCUAUAAGACUGGGAUAACUUCGGGAAACCGGAGCUAAUACCGGAUAACAUGUUGAACCGCAUGGUUCAACAGUGAAAGACGGUCUUGCUGUCACUUAUAGAUGGAUCCGCGCCGCAUUAGCUAGUUGGUAAGGUAACGGCUUACCAAGGCAACGAUGCGUAGCCGACCUGAGAGGGGGGAGCGACCACCGGGGACGUGAGACCGGGCCCAGCCCCCGACGGGAGGGGGCAGGGGGGAUUUUCCGGGAGGGGGCGAAGGCCGGCGGGAGCAACCCCGCGGGAGAAAAAAGGUUUUUCGGAUCUAAAAACUUUUUAAUGGGGGAAGAACAAAUUUGAAAGAAAUUAUGCCUGUCUUGAGGGUACAAAAUCAGAAGGCCACGGCAAACCCCGGC
rnacentral:rRNA from 1 species